GAUGAAGAACGUAGCGAAAUGCGAUAGGUAAUGUGAAUUGCAGAAUUCAGUGAAUCAUCGAAUCUUUGAACGCACAUUGCGCCCGGUAGUAUUCUGCCGGGCAUGCCUGUUCGAGCGUCAUUUCAACCAUCAAGCCCCAGCGCUUGUGUUGGGGGCCUGCGGCUGCCGCAGCCCCCCAAAAGCAGUGGCGGGCUCGCUAUCACACCGAGUGCAGUAGUUCAUCUUCUCUCCGGUCUUGUGAGGCGGGUUCCGGCCGUGAAACACCCCACUACAUUCAAGGUUGACCUCGGAUCAGGUAGGAAUACCCGCUGAACUUAAGCAUAUCAAUAAGCGGAGGA
rnacentral:misc_RNA from 1 species